UAAUACCGUCAUACGCCCCACGGGGGAAAGGCAAGGGGGAGUCUUCGGACCUUGCACUAUUGGAUGAGCCUAUGUCAGAUUAGCUUGUUGGUGGGGUAACGGGCCUACCAAGGCGACGAUCUGUAGCUGGUCUGAGAGGACGAUCAGCCACACUGGGACUGAGACACGGCCCAG
rnacentral:rRNA from 1 species